AGAAUACAUAUUAUAAUUUUUUUAUCAUUUUGCUGUACUCUUUCAAGAUCCGACAUAAUAACUUUCGAUGCUUAGACAUCUUUUCGGAGCAGUAGCCUACAAGUAAACAACAAUUAAGACUUUUGUCGCUUCGCGUUGCGUUCAAUGCACGGACACCAGCAUAGGAUGUUCAUCGGAUACUGUAGGUUACAGCGCACCGCUUGAGUUGAUGUUAUUGCGCAUAGAAAAUAACCUAGUCUGGAGAGUUGCCAAGUGAACCCACUGGCAUGGAGUUUCCUAGUGGAUUGACCAAUAGUGACAAAGAUCUUGACCAACAGUGUCACCUAGUGGAUAUAGCAGUAUCCCAGUUUGUAACAUUAAACUGCUGUAAAUAGGAAAGACACGGUUCUGAACCAAUUAUGGAAAACCAGUUUGGCUUUUCUCCUGGACAGAUGGCCUUCAGUCUUUUAGUUUACGAAAUUGGGUUUGGUUCAGGUUAUGCUAGUGUAGCCCACCAGUGUAGACAAGUACUUUGCAC